UCUGAUACUAGAAAAGUAGCAAUUCAUGUGUGGUGGUGCGAUUCUCUCCGAUUUAGUACCUCCUAGCCGGACGUCACGCCGGCUUACCGCCGACUUGCUAUGGGGUACCUCCGAUCUGAGUAAGAAGAAGAAAAAUCCUAGCAAUUACCACUCAAAGCCGUUGAGGUCUAAGUUAUUUGACCUUGACGACGAAUUUGAAGCUGACUUUCAGGACUUCAAGGACUACGCCGACGAUGUUGAUGAAGUCAAGGCUUUCGCUUUGCACGGUAAUUUCUCUUUGACUGGUCUUUCUUACCGUUCCGGGUUAAACUUUAUCUUUGAAAACGUUAACUAUUAAAAUAUUAUUUGGUUUAUUUCUAGAACUUGAUUUAGUUUGACUGUUUGAGUAUUUUGGUGUUUGUUUGUGUGUGGAGUGAAAUUUUGCUUUGUGAUGAAAACACUGAAGUUAGCUGAACUUUAAUUAUUUUUUUCCUAUUCAAAAUGUUUCCAUUAGUAUUUGGGUGUUCAUAUAGAAGGAGAAAAGAAAACUUUUGGGCAUAGAAUGUUUGUGAAGUGUAAAAAGAGGAGAAAGGUUGCUACUUUUCUUCCUUAUUAAGCCGAGGAAAGGAAAUUGUUUAGGACAAAGUAAGACCCUAAAGUAGUUGUAAUUUGUGAAGUUGUUGACUAUGUUUGAUGCGGAACAAAAUUAGAUCUUUGGACCUCCUUAAAGUUCCCUGCAGUCUCGGUUUUUAUCUUACCAGAGGGUGUGUUAGCCCCGGAGUAAAGAAUUUUCCUAGCUCAUUACCAAUAUAUUUGAUAAGAUAAACAACGAUUUAAGUAAUAUAAUUGUUUGUAUUAUAAAUUCCUAUUUGGACACAAUUGGAUCAUUUAGCAGAUUUCUAAAUGAUGAACCCUUGAUUCUCUAGAUGUUGAACCUUAUAUCAAGAUUUGCUACGUGUUGCAAAUAGAAAAAAUAAAAGUACAUGCUUUGAUGGAAGCUGGUGUGCGCAAGUAAUCUGGCACAAAUGAAAGCAGAAAACAUAAAAUUUUGAUUCCUUGGUUUUAAUCAUGAUUCCAAAAAAAAAAAUUUGAAGAGCUUGAAAUUUGUAAUGUAUGUUUCACGCCUUCUUGAUAUCUGUUUGCCAUUUUACUUGAAUGAUUGUUGCAAAAUUUGGUGCUUUUAUGGAUUACUGAUAUGCUUAAUUUUAUUUCCAAAGGCUCCAAAUCUGUGAAAUCUGAUGAUUCAAGCUGCGAUGCGGACAAAUCCUCCAAGAGAAAGAGAAAGAAUCAAUACCGGGGGAUCAGACAGCGCCCUUGGGGUAAGUGGGCAGCUGAAAUACGUGAUCCAACGAAAGGGAUUCGAGUCUGGCUUGGAACUUUCAAUUCUGCAGAAGAAGCUGCCAGAGCUUAUGAUAAUGAGGCCCGGAGGAUCAGAGGCAAGAAAGCUAAGGUGAACUUUCCCGAUGAAGCUCCAGUGUCUUCUUCAAGACGUGUUGUUAAGCUAAAUCCCCAGGAGGCACUUCACAAAGAGAGCUCGAACAUAGUUCAGGCCAACAGCACUUUUACUAACAACUUGGGCUGUGGUUCUGAUGAUUCGUUGAGCUUUGUCGAAGAGAAGCCAACAGCAAAGCAGUAUGGCUACGAGGACAUGUCUUUUACUGUUGGAGAUAUGGGACUUAGCUCAUUUUCGCCUUCAGCUGGUACAAAUGUUUACUUCAAUUCUGAUGAAGGAAGUAACACUUUUGACUGCUCUGAUUUUGGUUGGGGUGAACCGUGUUCAAGGUCUCCCGAGAUAUCGUCUGUUCUGUCGGCUGUUUUAGAAAGUAAUGGGAC
rnacentral:lncRNA from 1 species